GUGCUCACUUUGGCAGCACAUAUACUAAAAUUGGAACGAUACAGAGAAGAUCAGCAUGGCUCCUGCGCAAGGAUGACACACAAAUUUGUGAGGUGCUCUGUAUUUUG